rnacentral:tRNA from 1 species
UUAAUUGAAGCCAAAUAGAGGCAUAUUAUUGUUAAUAAUAUUAAUGAGUAUAAACUCCAAUUAAA